GUCACUCUGAGUUUCGAGAAGAAAAGGAAGGAACCAGGGGGAGCAUAGAGGCUCUGGGAUCCUGGCCAUAGGGCAGCUUCACAUAAAACCAGGAUUUGCAACCUUUCCAGAGCUUGCAUUUGAUCAGAAGUGUGAUUUCGUUGUAUAAAUAAAAAUUGUGAGGCAGUUGGCUCACGCUCUUCAAGAAAAAUCAGCCUCUUAUGCUGCUUUUAAGACUGCUGAAUGAGUGAUAUUCCCUAGAGGCACUGUCGUGGAGUAGACUGAUCUAAAGCCGCAACCUUGAUUGUAGGCAGAAAGGAGGGUGAGGAUGGAAAUCUCUUCAAAUGCACAUUUGCAACUGAAGCAG